ensembl:lncRNA
AUGAUGAUUUGUUUAACAGUUAUGAAAGGGUUUCCUGUUUUCUUUGAAGAGGGAGUGGAUUUUCUUUCUUCCUCCUUCUCUUUUUUUUUGUAUUUAUUUUUAUGGAAUUAAUUUAUCUUCAGAAGGAAAAUGGCAGCUAGUAGGUCAGUGACUUUAUGAAAACGAUGCUUGUAAAUUUGAAGGAAAGCAAUUCUCAUUUGCCGUUUGUCAGGAAAACCAAAAGUGUUUUUCUUUCCUUUAAUAUUUCUAUAAUCUAAUUCCUUUAUCCCUUUUUCUUUCUAAUCUAUCUUCAUUUAAAAAAAUCGUGUGUUAUCUUUUCCAGUCCUUUCUUGUUACUUGUAUUCUUACUGUUUUUCUGUGUCUUAAUAGCUCUUUGCCUUAAUAACUUGUCAUUAAUGACUUCUGUGUUCUCCCAAGCAAUGUUAUAGCAGAAGGGCAAUUAAAAUCUUGGGCAUGACUGGCAGCGCUUCUUUUCCUUAACUCCAGGUCUAUAGUCUGUUAUAAAUCAGAAUCAGUCCUGCAGUCUGAAAUAUAUUGGCCUAGAACGAAAUUUUAUCCCAGGCAUUCUUUUUUUUUUUUGGUGAGGAAGAUUGGCCCUGUGCUAAUAUCUGUGCCAGUCUUUCUCCACUUUGCAUGUGGGACCCUGCCACAGCAUGGCUUGAUGAGCAGUGUGUAGGUCUGCACCUGGGAUUGGAACUCAUGAAACCCAGGCCACUGAAGUGGAUUGUGUGAACCUAACCACCACACCACUGGGCUGGCCCCUCCCAGGCAUUCUUGAAUGGAAAACAGUUGUGGGCUUUUAUCAAUGAUUGUUAAUCACAAGAGUAACUUGGUAUGUUAAUAUUCCUUUCUUCCUUUUACUACAUUUCAAGUGCAGUAAUCAUACUUGUCUAUCCAGUUUUUUUGUAUUAUUAGUUACUUACAUGGUGCAUGGCUAACCUGUUAAUUUAGUUUUCUCUUUAGAGACUUUGAGACUCUUACAAGACAAGAUUGAGAAAGAGCCAUUUGGCUUGGCUUUUAGAAACAUCAAUAUCAUUAAGAACAGAUUUUAGGUUAAGUUGCUACUGAAUUAUUAAAAUCCCAGUGAAGCAGAACUACAGGGAUAGAUUUAUAACUGGGAGAGUAACAUAAAAGGAGAAAGGCGAAAGUCAGUUUCACUGGUUUGUUCAAUCCAGCUUUUUUGCUGAUAUUAGUUACCCUUGUUUGAAUUACAGGGAGUGGCUGGAAUCUGUAACCAGGGAGGAAGGACACUGUUAGGCAUGAGGAAAGGAAGUGGCAAAAAUGCCUGGACAGUAUGACUUGUCAUGAGGCCAGGACACACACUUUAAAAUCCAACAUCCACCCUAAUAGGUAAUUCUCAAAGAUGUAACUGAAAUCCAGAGUCAGUCAGGUAUAUAAAGGAAGGCUGGGGAAGAGGAGAGGCCCUGGGGCCUGGGCAAAAGAGGUCUAAUAACUGAAGAGACUCCACUGAGUGUCUGGAAGUCCAGAGGACCUAUUACUGUCUGGGCAUUUACAGACAAGGCCCGAUCCUCCGCUGUAUCUUGCUGGGGGACCUCAGGAUUAGAAGAGUAUCACGAACAGGGCCCGUUUGCCAUUCAGAGGCGACCCUGCUGGGACCAUUGGCUCAUCCUCAGGCAUCUUGGACUGGAGGUCCAAUAAAAGGUCAGCAACUUACUAUUAAAAUGAUUGUUUCAGAUCAUAUUGAUCUCUUUCCUUUUUCCUUUUGUCCUUUCGCUCUAUGACUUGAAUCAGUUUUGAUUCUAUUUGUAAGUUUUUCUUGUCAUAGGAACCUGCCAUUUCCGUUGCAUCCUCUCGGGCAGUUUGUAGGGAUUCAGUACCCUGGUUCUGCAGCCCUGCUGCAGGCACUGUGGGGUUGCGAGGGCCAGUGGAUCCAUUUCACUUACCUUGCUGCAUGAUGGUCAGUAGCUGAUCUGUUAUGGCAUUCACUCUCAGAUUAAUUUUCCGUAUUUGAACUAUGUGCAUAUGUGCUUUACAGAAUAAAACAUCUGAAUUUAUUUGCUGUAUCUUUGUUUCCUCCAGUCUGAUGGGUGUUUUCUAAAGGAAGAACAUACGUGAAAAGUAAUUGAGGGUUUUUUGCAAGCUGUUCUUUUGAAGUGUCACCUAUCAGCAAGAUGAGGGGUGGGCAAUAUUUCCUACUAAGCUGGUGUCACUAAGCACAUGGGUCUUUUCCCUGAGAGUACAAAACCUCUUCUAGUGUAUUGGACCAACAAGUACUCACAGACCUGACCCAAAUCCUGCCUCGGAGAAGUAAGUAAUAGAGACAAGUAGGGAGCGCUUGAAUAGGUAUGGGGAUUUAAAGGUACUUUUCUCAGUUACAUAAACCCUUUGUGCGCACUUGGUCUGAGUUACCGGAAGCAGUCUCCUAGCCGGCUCCGCCUUCUAAGUUACAGACCUCCCACAUGUGCUAGACUUCUUGCCCAGGAUAGUGCAUCCUCUACAGUUACUUUUGUAGAGUUAGUUUUAAAGGGAGAUUGUGUUCACUAGUGUGAAUUCUUCCCUUUUCCAAUGGGCAGAGGCUCUGUGGACCUUCCUUCACUCCCCGGCAGGAACCAGAGGUGGUAGAAGUCCAUCUCAAGGCACUCUGUGGGACAGGACAGCAUUGAGGAACAGGACACCUCAACGGGCUCUUGGUUUCUGCCUCCUCCAGCUCUUCCUGCCUUCUCUCUCUAACGGGUGCACUGUGCUUGAAGUUCUGAGACUCACAGACAAGGAGUACAGAAGAAGCAGAAUGAAUGCACAGACCAGAGGAGUGCUGUGAAGUCUUGUCAAGCUUCUUGUGAAUUUAUUUGCUAUCUCAAACAAACUUCUCUGCCCAUCUGUGAGAGCCCACUUUUUUUCCACCUCUGAAGACCCCAAACUCCUUACACCAUGCUGGGUGUUUGAUUAUGGUUGAACUGGAGUGGUUUGAACAUACCAAGAAUAGACGGCAAAUAA